rnacentral:rRNA from 1 species
GUGGGGAAUAUUGGACAAUGGGGGGAACCCUGAUCCAGCCAUGCCGCGUGUGUGAAGAAGGCCUUUUGGUUGUAAAGCACUUUAAGCGAGGAGGAGGCUACCGAGAUUAAUACUCUUGGAUAGUGGACGUUACUCGCAGAAUAAGCACCGGCUAACUCUGUGCCAGCAGCCGCGGUAAUACAGAGGGUGCGAGCGUUAAUCGGAUUUACUGGGCGUAAAGCGUGCGUAGGCGGCUUUUUAAGUCGGAUGUGAAAUCCCCGAGCUUAACUUGGGAAUUGCAUUCGAUACUGGGAAGCUAGAGUAUGGGAGAGGAUGGUAGAAUUCCAGGUGUAGCGGUGAAAUGCGUAGAGAUCUGGAGGAAUACCGAUGGCGAAGGCAGCCAUCUGGCCAAAUACUGACGCUGAGGUACGAAAGCAUGGGGAGCAAACAGGAUUAGAUACCCCGGUAGUCC